AUCACGGGAGACACACGGCGGGUGCUAACGUCCGUCGUGAAGAGGGAAACAACCCAGACCGCCAGCUAAGGUCCCAAAGUCAUGGUUAAGUGGGAAACGAUGUGGGAAGGCCCAGACAGCCAGGAUGUUGGCUUAGAAGCAGCCAUCAUUUAAAGAAAGCGUAAUAGCUCACUGGUCGAGUCGGCCUGCGCGGAAGAUGUAACGGGGCUAAACCAUGCACCGAAGCUGCGGCAGCGAACGUAUCACCCAAGACAACUUUACGGAGUUGACGAUUGACGGAGCGAAGCGACGUCAAAGCGUUCAUUAAAGUCGAGUUGGCUUAGGGAUACGUUCGUUGGGUAGGGGAGCGUUCUGUAAGCCUGUGAAGGUGUGUCGUGAGGCAUGCUGGAGGUAUCAGAAGUGCGAAUGCUGACAUAAGUAACGAUAAAGCGGGUGAAAAGCCCGCUCGCCGGAAGACCAAGGGUUCCUGUCCAACGUUAAUCGGGGCAGGGUGAGUCGACCCCUAAGGCGAGGCCGAAAGGCGUAGUCGAUGGGAAACGGGUUAAUAUUCCCGUACUUGGUGUUACUGCGAAGGGGGGACGGAGAAGGCUAUGUUGGCCGGGCGACGGUUGUCCCGGUUUAAGCGUGUAGGUGUGUGUUCCAGGUAAAUCCGGUUCACUUUAACACUGAGGCGUGAUGACGAGGCACUACGGUGCUGAAGCAACAAAUGCCCUGCUUCCAGGAAAAGCCUCUAAGCAUCAGGUAACAUCAAAUCGUACCCCAAACCGACACAGGUGGUCAGGUAGAGAAUACCAAGGCGCUUGAGAGAACUCGGGUGAAGGAACUAGGCAAAAUGGUGCCGUAACUUCGGGAGAAGGCACGCUGACACGUAGGUGAAGUGAUUUACUCACGGAGCUGAAGUCAGUCGAAGAUACCAGCUGGCUGCAACUGUUUAUUAAAAACACAGCACUGUGCAAACACGAAAGUGGACGUAUACGGUGUGACGCCUGCCCGGUGCCGGAAGGUUAAUUGAUGGGGUCAGCGCAAGCGAAGCUCCUGAUCGAAGCCCCGGUAAACGGCGGCCGUAACUAUAACGGUCCUAAGGUAGCGAAAUUCCUUGUCGGGUAAGUUCCGACCUGCACGAAUGGCGUAAUGAUGGCCAGCCUCUCCCGACCCGCGACUCAGUGAAAUUGAACUCGCUGUGAAGAUGC
rnacentral:rRNA from 1 species